AUGAAUGUUGAUAAGCAUAUUGACGUUGCUGGGAAUAGCUCUGCGAAACCUCCUUCGUUCAGCCCUCAUCUUUGUCUGAUUCGACCUUCCUCAGCUCCCAAUUCGCUUGCGAUUUCGUCUCAACACCCUCACUUGCCUCCAAUUUCGUUUCGGUUUCAAUUCGUGCUUCUCAUCCUCAGCGUUUCAUCCAAUGCUUCUAUUAUCGCUCAUCAUUGUAAGUUCUCGCUCGUCUUCAGAUUCGUGAGGUUUCACUAUGGAGUAAGGAAAGGCGAAUGA